AUUCGGUGAGGCCAACGGUUUGCCGAAGAGAGAUACGAGGAACAGAGAGAAGCUGAAGCUUCUCUGGCCACUUUUUAUCGUCCCUGUCACCAAUGAAGCUAUGAGAGAUCUCCCUAGCCAUCAUCGGAGUCCAAGCAAUCCUUGGCCCCUCGUUUUGCUGGAAAAUGCGAGGGAGACCAGAUCGGAAAACGGAGACUCGAAGCUUUAAGGAUUGAUUCGGCCAAACAAGGAGGAAUUCUGGCUUGUGGCAGAUACCAAGGUGACCACCGAGUAAAGGCGUACCUGUGGCAACCUUCAGUGGCACCAAAAACCAGUGGAGGAGACGACAACGGCAUUCGCGGGAGCAUAUCAAGUGAAUUGCCACUAUGCAGCGGAUUCCAGUGACAGUUGAGGAACAGCUUAUUUUGAAAGCAAUAAAGGAGGAAUGCCCAUGGGAGAAUCUCCCCAAAAGGCUUCAGGCAACUCUUACAACCAAAGAGGAAUGGCACAGAAGGUUAGAUUGGCUUCUUCUGUGCACCUUGAUUUGUAAUUUUAAGGUGCUGCGUCUUUGCAACAGAAAAAGCUAGUACUGCUUUUUGGUUACUUUUGCAAAUAAGUAUAGUUGAACACUGCAUAAAAAAAAGACAACAAUGGAACGCCUGUUUUGCUCGCAAAGUAUGCAAAGAAGGUGAAUAUUAUGAA
rnacentral:misc_RNA from 1 species